rnacentral:rRNA from 1 species
GACGAACGCUGGCGGCGUGCUUAACACAUGCAAGUCGAACGGAAAGGCCCUUCGGGGUACUCGAGUGUCGAACGGGUGAGUAACACGUGGGUGAUCUGCCCUGCACUUUGGGAUAAGCCUGGGAAACUGGGUCUAAUACCGAAUAGGACCACGCGCUUCAUGGUGUGUGGUGGAAAGCUUUUGCGGUGUGGGAUGGGCCCGCGGCCUAUCAGCUUGUUGGUGGGGUAAUGGCCUACCAAGGCGACGACGGGUAGCCGGCCUGAGAGGGUGACCGGCGACAAUGGGACUGAGAGACGGCCCAGAAUCAUACGGGAGGCAGCAGGGGGGAAUAUUGCACAAUGGGCGCAAGCCUGAUGCAGCGACGCCGCGUGAGGGAUGACGGCCUUCGGGUUGUAAACCUAUUUCAAUAGGGACGAAGCGCAAGUGACGGUACCUAUAGAAGAAGCACCGGCCAACUACGCG